UUUGAAAUUAAUUUCGGUGCUAGGCACGUGGUUGAUGUGGAUUUCAAGCGAUUAAAAAGCGAUUCCUUUCGUCGACAGUCGAAUCACGCGCGACUUAUGAUUGAGGUUGGAUUAUGAUUUUAUGGUUGAGAAAUUAUUGGUUCAACCUUGGGCUAGGGGCACACACGAGCGUUGAAACGACGUCAAGACGAUCGUACAUAUCAAUUUAUUCUAUAAAUUGAAAGAGCGUAGGAAGAUAUUGAUACUAUAAAUAUUAUUGUUUAAAUUUAUCUUUAGAAUUUAUCAUUAUUCUUUCGACGAAUGAAUUUAUGAAUUGAAUAUCAAUUCUGUACUCGUGUAAUGAGAUUAAAAAAUUAAUUUCAUAAUUAUAUUGGUCUAUCUAAAAGUGUAUAUAGGAAUUAUACGAUAUUUAUUAGAAAUCCAUAUUUGAUAAAGGCAAAGUAUGAAUGGCCAUCUUAAGUAUAUAAUAAAUGUUAAAAAUGGUUUCACUCAAUAUGGAGGCUUAUUGAUAUAAUGGAUUCUGAUUAUUUAAAUAACUUUGUGACUUUUGCAAAAUAUACUUGUGUAAAUAAUUUAAUAAUA